ACAUGUCUACAACAUAACGUUAAUGCACCGGAUCCCAUUAGAACUCUGCAAUUAAGCGCGCUUGGGCUAGAGUAGUACUGGAAUGGGUAACUGUCUAAGAAGUCCUAGUAUUUUACAUGCC
rnacentral:rRNA from 1 species